rnacentral:lncRNA from 1 species
UGGCCUCACCCUUCCCUUCUGCUACCUACAAAAGCCCCCUGACAUAGCACUCUUGUCAUACUGAGACUAAGGUAGAAAAAGACACUUCCAAAGGGUGUCAAUGACAAGAGAGAAAUAGACAUAGAGUGGUCACUUCAUUUACCAACCCUGGAACCGCAGACCUCUGGGCUUCCUGACGAAAGCUGCCCACCAAAUAUGAACAGAUAGGAACCUCGUGAUCUUUUGGGGCUGUCAUCCUUCUCUCAGUCUGCCAGUAACUGGGAUCCUGGCAUUUAUCCUGGAGGUCCCUGAAGGUCCAAGAGGGAACAGAGGAAAUCUGAUUGGCACAGGCCCAUUUCUGCCUCGGUUGCCUGCCUCCAACCACAAUCCAGUUUUUUGGCUCCCAGAGACAGACAUGCCCAGAUCUGAACACCACCCACCUGGAUAAAGAAAAUGGGUACGGCCAAGACCAUAGACCUAGUGAUUGUCAGAUGAACAAUUAGACCCACAGAACCAUCCAAGCUACAGAGGACGCAUUCUGCCUUCCCUUGGAUCCUGUGGUUUGAGGAUGGAGGUCUAGGACCGUGGCAGGCUUUUUGUCCCAUGAGGGAAGGCCAUGGAGCUGAGGAAGGGGAAGAACACACACACCUAAUGGAAUCUCGAGAGAAAGUUCAGACAUCAAAAGACAGAAGCGACAGAGACCCAGGUCUGUGGGGACGCUGUAUGGCUGAGUCAAGUCUUGAUCAAAGUCAGCAUUAUAUCUGGACUUGCACAGUUUCUGAGCCUUGAAACUCCAUUUCGUUUAAGUGAGCUUUUAACUGUCACAGGCAGCUGCAUGCACACACAAGUCCAUGUGAUUAGAUGUUUCCAAGAGUCUGGAAUAACAUACCCCAAACUGUUAAUAGUGGUUACCCUAUAGAAGGGGAGUAGGAAGGUGUGUGUUGGGGUGGAGGAUGGUUUGCCAACUGGAAACUCACUCCAGGCUAACAUUUAUUGCUAGGCACCAUUCUAAACUUUGCCAGUAAUCCUCUCCCUAGAGGCUGAGGAAGACCACUUCUUCAAGCCCUAUUUAAUAGACAGCGUGGCCAGGCAUGGUUGCUCACGCCUGUAAUCCCACCACUUUGGG